rnacentral:rRNA from 1 species
AUUGAACGCUGGCGGAAUGCUUUACACAUGCAAGUCGAACGGCAGCACGGGGGCAACCCUGGUAGCGAGUGGCGAACGGGUGAGUAAUACAUCGGAACGUGCCCAGUCGUGGGGGAUAACGUAGCGAAAGUUACGCUAAUACCGCAUACGAUCUACGGAUGAAAGCGGGGGACCGUAAGUCCUCGCGCGAUUGGAGCGGCCGUUGUCAGAUUAGGUAGUUGGUGAGGUAAAGGCUCACCAAGCCGACGAUCUGUAGCUGGUCGGAGAGGACGACCAGCCACACUGGGACUGAGACACGGCCCAGACUCCUACGGGAGGCAGCAGUGGGGAAUUUUGGACAAUGGGCGCAAGCCUGAUCCAGCCAUUCCGCGUGCAGGACGAAGGCCUUCGGGUUGUAAACUGCUUUUGUACGGAACGAAAAGGCUCUGGUUAAUACCUGGGGCUCAUGACGGUACCGUAAGAAUAAGCACCGGCUAACUACGUGCCAGCCGCCCGGUAA